CACGAGAAAGCGCCUUCGGGCGUGAGUACAGUGGCGGACGGGUGAGUAACGCGUAUGCAACCUACCCUUGAGCGGGGGACAAUCACGGGAAACCGUGGCUAAUACCGCAUAAAAUCUCGGUUGCGCCUGCAACCGAGAUCAAAGCCUUCGGGCGCUCUUGGAUGGGCAUGCGUCGGAUUAGCUUGUUGGUGAGGUAGAAGCUCACCAAGGCAACGAUCCGUAGCUGGUCUGAGAGGAUGAUCAGCCACACUGGCACUGAGACACGGGCCAGACUCCUACGGGAGGCAGCAGUGGGGAAUCUUGCACAAUGGAGGAAACUCUGAUGCAGCCACGCCGCGUGGAGGAAGACACCCCUAUGGGGCGUAAACUCCUUUUCUGCCGGAAGAAAACCCUGGUCUCCAGGGCGUGACGGUACGGCAGGAAUAAGCACCGGCUAACUCCGUGCCAGCAGCCGCGGUAAUACGGAGGGUGCAAGCGUUGUCCGGAAUUACUGGGUGUAAAGGGUGCGCAGGCGGGGCAGCAAGUCAGAGGUGAAAGCCCACGGCUUAACCGUGGAAGUGCCUUUGAAACUGCUGUUCUUGAGUCCCGGAGAGGUCGUCGGAAUUCGUGGUGUAGCGGUGAAAUGCGUAGAUAUCACGAGGAACACCAGAGGCGAAAGCGGACGACUGGACGGGUACUGACGCUCAGGCACGAAAGCGUGGGG
rnacentral:rRNA from 1 species